rnacentral:rRNA from 1 species
CGGGUGAGUAACGCGUGGAUAACCUGCCUCACACUGGGGGAUAACAGUUAGAAAUGACUGCUAAUACCGCAUGAGCGCACAGUACCGCAUGGUACGGUGUGAAAAAACUCCGGUGGUGUGAGAUGGAUCCGCGUCUGAUUAGCCAGUUGGCGGGGUAACGGCCCACCAAAGCGACGAUCAGUAGCCGACCUGAGAGGGUGACCGGCCACAUUGGGACUGAGACACGGCCCAA